GACGAACGCUGGCGGCGUGCUUAACACAUGCAAGUCGAACGGAAAGGCCCUGCUUUUGUGGGGUGCUCGAGUGGCGAACGGGUGAGUAACACGUGAGUAACCUGCCCUUGACUUUGGGAUAACUUCAGGCAACUGGGGCUAAUACCGGAUAGGAGCUCCUGCUGCAUGGUGGGGGUUGGAAAGUUUCGGCGGUUGGGGAUGGACUCGCGGCUUAUCAGCUUGUUGGUGGGGUAGUGGCUUACCAAGGCUUUGACGGGUAGCCGGCCUGAGAGGGUGACCGGCCACAAUGGGACUGAGAUACGGCCCAGACUCCUACGGGAGGCAGCAGUGGGGAAUAUUGCACAGUGGGCGGAAGCGUGAUGCAGCAACGCCGCGUGCGGGAUGACGGCCUUCGGGUUGUAAACCGCUUUCGCCUGUGACGAAGCGUGAGUGACGGUAAUGGGUAAAGAAGCACCGGCUAACUACGUG
rnacentral:rRNA from 1 species